rnacentral:rRNA from 1 species
UACGUAGGUGGCAAGCGUUGUCCGGAUUUACUGGGCGUAAAGAGCGCGCAGGCGGUCGUGCAAGUCGCGUGUGAAAGCCCCCGGCUCAACUGGGGAGGGUCACGCGAUACUGCUCGACUUGAAGGCAGGAGAGGGAAGUGGAAUUCCCGGUGUAGUGGUGAAAUGCGUAGAUAUCGGGAGGAACACCAGUGGCGAAGGCGACUCCUGGCCUGUUCUUGACGCUGAGGCGCGAAAGCUAGGGUAGCAAACGGGAUU